AUUGAACGCUGGCGGCAGGCCUAACACAUGCAAGUCGAACGCAGUGGGGACGGGUGAGUAACACGUGGGUAACCUCCCAUCAGAGGGGAUAACACUUGGAAACAGGUGCUAAACCGCUACUGAUGGAUGGACCCGCGGGGCAUUCGCUAGUUGGUGAGGUAACGGCCAACCAAGGCGACGAUGCAUAGCCGGCCUGAGAGGGUGAUCGGCCACACUGGGACUGAGACACGGCCCAGACUCCUACGGGAGGCAGCAGUAGGGAAUCUUCGGCAAUGGACGAAAGGCUGACCGAGCAACGCCGCGUGAGUGAAGAAGGUUUUCGGAUCGUAAAACUCUGUUGUUAGGGAAGCGUUAUCUGACCAGAAAGCAACGGCUAACUACGUGCCAGCAGCCGCGGUAAUAC
rnacentral:rRNA from 1 species